UACGGAAGGCAGCAGUGGGGAAUAUUGCACAAUGGGCGCAAGCCUGAUGCAGCCAUGCCGCGUGUAUGAAGAAGGCCUUCGGGUUGUAAAGUACUUUCAGUCGUGAGGAAGGUGUUAAGGUUAAUAACCUUAGCAAUUGAUGUUAGCGACAGAAGAAGCACCGGCUAACUCCGUGCCAGCAGCCGCGGUAAUACGGAGGGUGCGAGCGUUAAUCGGAAUUACUGGGCGUAAAGGGCACGCAGGCGGUUAAUUAAGUUGGAUGUGAAAUCCCCGGGCUUAACCUGGGAAUGGCAUUCAAGACUGGUUAGCUAGAGUCUUGUAGAGGGGGUAGAAUUCCAUGUGUAGCGGUGAAAUGCGUAGAGAUGUGGAGGAUACCGGUGGCGAAGGCGGCCCCUGGGACAAAGACUGACGCUCAUGUGCGAAAGCGUGGGGAGCGAAACAGGAUUAGAUACC
rnacentral:rRNA from 1 species